GGGUUGCAGGUACUCUGUUAUUUAUUGUACAGUAUUUCACUGAAAGUACAAAGGCAUCAUCAGUACUCACCAGAAUUGUAUUGUAACAGGUACAUUAUACCGCAUGUUAAAAUGUGCUGCUUUAACGAGGCAAGACAGAACACAAACUUAGAGGAAGAAAGAAAGGAGUUUAAAAAAAUGUAAAAAUACACUUUUUAGUAACUGAUCUGUACAAAAGAAAAAAAAAAAAGAAACUGAAGCAGAGGGCAGGGAUUAGAGCCCCCAAAGUCAUUUAUAACUAUUUAAAAAGGCACUGUUAUCUAUCAUGUCAUUAGGACCUUUGGGUUCUGUUUCCUUCAUACUGAUGACUGUGGGGGUAGGGGAAACACUGUUACUGAAAUGAUCAGACUCAUACAAAAGUAUUUACAGAGAAAGGCAGAAAAAUCCCCUCCUCUUGUUCCAAAAGAGAAACAUUUGCCCUGUGGGAGAGGACAGCCUUUCUCCCUAUCCUCUCUCCCUAGCCAUGCCAGACCCGUGACCUUGAGUGGGAGAAAUCAAACAGUGAGGAUGGGGGAGAAGCUGUCAGAGUCCUCCUAACAAUGGGAAAGUGUCUCUCUCAUUUCUGUUUUAUUGCUUUAAACUCUCCUAUAAUCAGGGGAGCAAGAAGAUAAACUAAAAUCCCUAAACCCCACACCACAACCCCAAACCACCCUGGCUGCAAGAAGCUGGGGGCAGGUGGUCGGGACAAACCGGUGAGGACCAAGAGGUAGGGCUGGCUGGAGCUGUCUUUCUAGAGAAAAGGGGGAAGAGAUGGGGAGAAUAAUGCUUCAAACUACCAGACAUUUGUGCUGCUUUUCUAAAUCUCUCCCUGGGAGCCUGACAGCCGCGUGUGUCAGCAGAAGCAAACCCAGGGCGCACGAACCCACCAGCCAAAGCAUCGGACGGCAGCCGUGGGGCGUCCCCGGGGCGUCUACACGUGGGCGCUCUUGGCGUGGGUGGGCGAGCUGGAUCCUGAGCCGUAGUAGAAGCGGUUCUCCCCGAAGGUCUGAGCGUCUCCUGAGCAGCAGACGAUGACACAGCCUCCAAAGAGGCAGAGGGCAGAGCCGAUCCAGCCCGUGUACAGCGAGUAGCCGAAGCUCAUGAUGGUGGUCUCGCGGUGGGCGCACACCGGGAACCAGAUGGUCGCCACGACGCCGCACAUGGCUGGGGACGGGGGAAGGACAGCGUUAGGGUUCUGGCCUGGAGGGAGUGACAGCAGAGCGUCACACGUGUCUAGGGAUGGAGAGGAAACCCAUCCCUCCUCCCUUCCAGUCCCACCCCAGAAGAAGCGGCAUCAGCGCUGGGUCCAGGAGAUCUCCAAGCAGGAGGGAACAUGGGAGCCUCAGGAGUGAGAGAUGGAGAGAGAACAGCCAUCUCUCUCAGGAAGGAAAAACAACAGCUGCCUGACACAACAUAAUAUAUUUAUUAGAAGGGAAACAGAUUUGUUCCCUAAAAAUAUCGUCAAGAGGGAAAAAAUGAGAGUCAUCCCUGAAACUGAUGUUGUGGAGAAGUGCAGAAUUAGGAAUAGAUUAGAUAUGAAGAGGCCAUGAAAACCAUAUGGAUCAAUGAGAGAAUAAAAUCUGUGGACCUGUGUGAACUGCUGUAAAUCCCUAUUUCCACAUGGACUCACCUGCUGUGUCCUCAGCCCAUGUCCCUCCUCAUCAUUGCAGUGGCUCUACUGGGUCACAUAAACUUCACCAAAAUCUCCCAGCACUCUAAGGCAGAGUAGGGUUUAUGAAAUACGAGCAGAAAAUGAGCAGGGACAAAAUAAGCAGCAGUUAGGCAUUGCUGGGGUUUUUUCAUGGAAAAGGAAAUGUCUCACAGCUCUGGAAAACAGAUUCUACUUCCAUGUGGAAAAUUUCUAUCAUGUGAUGGGGACAAACCCAGCAAGGCUCUCCAGAUAUUUACUGAAUUGAAUAAAAACGGGACCUGAAGAGUCUGCAGAAGAGAAAACAGGAUCCUACCUAAGGACUACAGUGGGUCAAAAAAUGACUGCAGGCUUCACUUUUUACUUGAUAUUCCAGAGGGGGUUUUUCCACAAAAAGCCAGAAGGCAGCUGCAGUGGUGCUGUGAGGUGACAUGUGAGGGAGACAGUCCCCACAGAGUCCCCACAUGCACUGAGGGCAACGGGAGUUGAUGGUGUUAAUCACCUCCCAGGAGCAGGUCCUAAAACAAUACUCCUUGAUGGCCUGUACAUCUGAGAAGAAUUAAUCUGUCAAUAUUUACUUGCCUCCGGGACAAGCUGUGCAGGACUCCAUCCUUGUGGCUAUCAGAGAAUCAGAGCAAAACAAUAACAGGACCAUGGCAGCGUUACAGAUUUCCACCGACCGUGUUAAAAGGUAUCUGGAGGCAGUGUCAGAAAGUUAAGGUUGCAAGAGGGAAAAAGAAAGGGGUGAGAGUAAAAAUAAAAUUGUUUAGUUAAAGCAGAGAACAAACCGUAGCUCCUGGCCGGUACAGCAAAAAACCCAUCCCCAAAGCUGUAGUUAUUGUGAGAGAAAAUAUUUUCUUAUGGAAAAGAGAAGAACAUUUGAAGGAUGCUUAUAAAGCCAGAAAUAAUUUUGGGCCUCCUCAAAGGAAGGGCCCCGCAGCUUUGGAAGGAAUUUUGGAGAAAGCAGGGAGGGGAGAAGAGCAUUUCUCCUGCAUGUGGAGUGGUCCUGCAAACAGCUCAUGAACCUCCAACGCUUUAAAACAAAAAUGUAUCAGUUGGGAAUCCACAAAGCAUUCUAAUGGGCUCUGCAAACAAAACUGCUUUGUUGUCCGAAAAAACACAAUCAUCUUUUCUUUCUCUGUCAGCAGUAAAUAUAUAUAUAUAUUUGUCUAUAGACUAUAAGACCCUUAUCUCUCCAGACCCUCCCCCACAAGACAGGACCGAAGAAAACACUUGCACUGGGGUGAGAAGAGCUCUCAGGGAUGCUCACACAAUGGCUUCUCUUGUGCAUGUGGUUCCACUACAUGUAAAACACCUUAUUUUAAUGCUGACAAUGCCAGAAACACAAGCCAAGGACUUUGCAUGGGUUCACUCGACCUCUCUGUCCUCGGAGGCCACCAGCUGCCAUCAGUCACCAGUGACCCCGUUGCUGAGCAAGAGGAAUGCCCUGGAACAGGACUGGGCUUCAUCGCUCUGCAUAGAUUAGGCUGGGCUGUAAAUCCUCCGAGGGGAUGGGAAAAGGACAGUCAGCAAUUGCAAUGUCUCUCUGUGGGCUCAAAUUUUAUUCUGGUUGUACCACAGGGAAAGGCUGAAAAAAAAAAAGGUGAUUUGACAAGAAACCAAAAAGAUUUGACAGGAAACCUUUUCCAAAGAGAUUGGAAAGGGGGUUUUAGGGCGACUUUCAAGUUCUAAAAUGGCUGCCUACAUGGAAAAGAAGUGUAGAUAGAAAUUGUUUUCCCUUCUCUUGCGCUAAUGUCAGGACAUCCUUUGCCUCUCUCUACACGAGAAAUCUUCAGACAGUAGAGCUGCUGCAGCCAAUAUAGUCUAGCAGAAAAAUAAAAGACGGUCUGCAAAGAGAAGGAAUAUUUUCUAUUAGAGCAGCCAAUUCAGUUGGGAAAACAAGCCUGGUUUGGGGCACAUGUGUGGAAAUCCUGCCUGCUUUUUGCAGCUGGAGUAGGCAAUCUUGUAAAAGCCACUGCCUCAUCCUAAAAAACCCUCUCAGCACUGCAUGGCAUGAAUGUCCUUGCUCCAUCAGAUUGCUGUGAAUCCACAGGGACACAUCCCAGCUCCCAGUGUUUCCAAGUCUUUUUUAAGUGUGGAUUUGCAGUAGCUCAGUCUGCUGAGCUGAAACCCUUAAUACUCAACAUCAGAGAUGUGUUGGAGUCAGAAGGACGUGCACAGAGACAAGAAGCACAGAAGGUGCUUGGGGAGCUGGGAGAGAGGGAACAGGAUUGUUCUAACCCAAGGGACAGUGAGUCCCUGCCAAAUUCCUUAACAGUAAGUUAAAGGCUUUUUGCAGAAGAAAGAAUACUUUUCUUUCACAUCUAAAUUUAACUAUUCCGAAUUGCUGACUCAAAGUCACAUGGAUUUCUCUUUCAAAGCAUUUAGUUGAAUAAAAUAGAUAACAUUUUUUUUUCUGCAUUCAAGGCAGUCUUUUUAUCUUAAUAACUAUGGUUUUACAAGUAAACCUCAGGCAGUCUUCAGGAAAACUCAUUAACACCCUUUACUUAGUACCCAAUGGCUUAUUUUAUAGUAGCAAUUCCCACUAACAUAUAUUUCAUCUAUUUUCCAGUGUCUGGGUCCCUCUCCUCCACUGGGAAAAUGUCCCCUCGGUUACCAGCAAGUGGUCCUCCAAAUUAGUAUCAACAACACGGGCUGGGCCAGGGAUUUUCCAUCAACACCAUAGUGUGAAAUAUUUUCACACCAGCUCAGAGCAAACCUCUGCUGACGGCUGUUUUCAGCCAUAAAUCAAUUCUCUUGGUCAGAUAGGAUCAAACAAAGCCAUAAACACAUCAGCAGCAAAACAGCAGGGCGUGCACACAGGUUGCACUCAGGCAGCCUGUGAUUAUCAGUGGACAGAAAAAUCAAUGGAAUAUCUGAGCCCAUUAUUUUCCUGGCAACUUUUCAGUUUUUUCUAUAUGUAUUUAUUCUUUUAUUUUCUUUUUGGCUCUGUGCUGUGUUUCAAUCCCUGUUUUCCCUUAUACCAAAUUUCAGUGACAAACUGCCAUCCCUUCCCUGAGCAGCAAGUGAAGUUUGCCUUGGGGCCAGCUUCCCUAUUUGCAUCCCCACUCCCUAUUUCUGCUGCAUUAAGGAGUGUUUUGGGGGCCAUUUUCUUUUAACCAGAGCUCUGGAUGUUGCUCUCCCCUAAGAGGAAAAGUCUGGAGCCUGUGAGGUUGUGGAAACCAUGAGUGAGAGUUCAGUGGCUGGAGGGUGAAUAAAAACAGUCCAGGGCAUGCUACUUCUAGAAUAUAAUGGAUUUUAACUCAGUGUUGUAUCUUCCAGAGCCUGAUCCAUGCUUGUUAACUGCUCUGGAAUGCUGACACCUCAUCUUGCAGCUAACAGAUCAUUAAUCAGCUUAAAUAAUGUCAAAGUCCUAAACUCUGUACAUUAUUCUUCUUCCAAAGGGACUGUCUUGCUGAUGGGCCUGGAAAAAAAUGGGCUUCGUAAAUAUAAAUGUGGGUUGGUUUCCUCUUUCCUUUAUUUAAAAAAAGCAACCUAGGAGCAAAAGAAGCUUAUUUAUUCUUCAUUUUUGAUCUGACAAAAAGAGCAUUAUUGUAAUUGUGACUAAAACAUUGUGACCAGGCUGCUGAUCCCAGCCCAGAUCAUUCAGGGCAUCAGCAACACCAGUAAAUCUUUCACCUGUAGGUGCUUGAGAGCUCACAGGAGUGAAAAUCAAUAAGAUAUGGUCUAAAUCUGACCCAAAGAUAAUUUGUCUGCCAAUGUCUCCAUGACACAAAUGUGAGAGAUGUGAUCUCUCAGGCUUCCUUUCCUCACAGGAUCUGCCUAGCUGGAAAGCCGUGUGCUGAGGCAGAGGGGGACCUGGUUUGUGCAGCACCACAACUCUCCAUCAUCCCCUCACACCUGCUCUCCUCCCUGGUGUCCCACUGCAGCGUGAUGGGAUGGGAUAGUGGCACACCAGACACCAAACCCUGGUGGGACACUGCAGCACAAAGGAUUUCACUUGUUCUAAUACAGUGGUACCCAACAGUGUCACUGGAAUUUGCUGCCUUUGGUCCUGUCAUCCUCUUUCCCUCUGGGAUUUUUAGGGACAGUCCUCCUGCCCCCACACCUGCAGCCAUGCAA
ensembl:lncRNA